CAGCCAAAGAUGGAAUUUCUCUGUUCCUGGAACAUCUGGUGUAGGCUCUCAAUGCUCGUAAUUAUCCUCCCAGUCCCAGCCCUCUGCAGGUGCAGGGAAGUGCAGGGCAGGUUCUCUGAGAAUACAGCUCUACAGUCCAUCUAUAAAUCUUAGCGAAACACAUGCCAUAGGAUUUAACAUGCAUUUAUGUUUUUAAAAUUUUCACUGAGAAAGCAAUACCAGUUGGAAUAAUGUUACAUUAUAAGGUUAGGAAGCCUUGGGCAAAAUCUCAAGCUCUUAGUAAAUGUAGGGCUUUCUAUUGCAAUAAAAGCCUUCAUGUCAGCAUCUUAAGCUGCUGUAUCACUUAUGCCUUUACACUCAGUCAAUUUUUACCUCUUCUCUCAACACAGACUUCUCAGGCAUUUGUCUUCACCUGCAGCUCCUCUCUCACCAGCUGACCCCUUGCUGUCCUCAUCUUGCACGGCAGCUCCAGGAAAACCUUCCCACAUGUGGCAGUGCUCACUGGCUCUCAGACAGGCUCUGACCUGUGAAUGUUGUGUGAGCCAUGACCUGUUCCUGGUUUGGCUCAGCACGGCUUGCCUGGACAGAUGAUAUUCUUUAUUUAUUUGUACAAAAUGAAACAGAUUCACCAUCAAGGUUUGCAAGAUUAACAAAAUAUUCAGUGGACAGGAAUUUAAGGCACAGUUGAAGAAUGAGAAGAAUUUGCUACCCAGCACUCCACACUUUGUGACUGGUGAUUUUGGGGAGCUGCUCCAUGUGCUCACCACAUGCCUUUGGGAUAGAGUUUCUCAGGCGAUGCAGAUGGAGGAACUGUGCUUGAGAAUCCUUCCAGGAAUGAAUUAGACAUGGAGAAUUCAGCUCUGCUGACACAGCAAGGCUCCUGGACAAGCCCAGAAGUGAAACUUUAGCACCUGGUUUAACACUGGAAGCAGAGGACUGUAGAGGAAGCUGAGGAAUCUUUGGAUGCAGGCACAUUACGGAAUUUCUGUGACAGUAACCCAUGAAAUUUCCUGGGUUUGUCUCCUUUGAAGUCUCCAAGAACUCUCUACCAUCACUAUGGAAGAUUGCAUUCCAAAUGUAAACAGA